UUUUUUUUUUCUUGGUGUUAUGCCUGUAGGUGUGGUCUUUCUAUUAUGAAAGACUUAACUAUUCAUUUAAGCACAUUGUCCAUCAAACUUUCCAAAUCAGAUGGCCCAGCGACCUACGAAAAAUUAGCUUUCCAAAUUCCAGUUGUUAACUAAGUAUGAUACGUAUAUAUUCCUUAAAGAAUACAUUUUUGGAUUAUUUCCCAUACAAACACAAACACAGACAACUUUAAUGCCAAUGACACUUCUCAAUCAUUACAAUGAGUUGUAUCUACCAUGAGAAACACAAGUAUGUUGCUAUGUAAUACUUUAUGUCUUGCUAUUAUUGAGUUGAUGGUUAAAAUCCUUACCCAGCAAGAGGAUGCCUAAUAAGGUACUAGCCCUAUACACACUUAGACAUUUAAUGAAUAUCAAUCAUUAUAGAUGUGAGAAAAAUCAUGAAGCCUCAAUCUUAAAGGAAAAGUAUCACAAAAGCAAACAAGUUCAAAUCGCACACAAACAAAAUUCAAAAGGAAAAGUAUUUUGUCAAAGCUGCCUCUAGACUAGCAGUUAGCAAAUUGGGCUGCACGUUAGAAUUGCUGCGGGCACUGUUUGAAAUACAUUUGUCAGAGUCCUACGUACAGACUCUGAUUCAGUAGGUGACAGAUAUUUUUGCCAAAAUCCCAGCAAAGUGCGGAAAUCACUGCUAGAUGGUUUUCAUCUAAAACAUUACAAAGAGGUAUUUUCAAUCUAUUUUCUGCCAUUAACAAACUCCAUGUUCAAAGUUGAAUAGUAUAAAUAAUAUGGAGUUACCCUACUUAAGCAGAGCUAGCAACCAUAAAAAUGGGCCAGAGUAUUGAGAAAUUAAUUCUUUUGUAUGAAAAUAAUGAAUUUUUCUCAUUUUUUAAAAUUAUGUAAAUAAUACAUUGUUGGUUUUAGAAAACGAAAAUAAAAGCAAAAAAAGCUCCAUCGCUGGUUAUCAAAAUGCUUCAGUAUUUUGGCACUAACUGCCACUGCCAUUGAGAGUUUAAUUUUUGAUGUCUGAACACACACACACACACACACACACACACACACACACACAUAUAUAUAUAAGCUCAUUAGACUUAUUCUAGCAUGAUUUUUAUGUGGCAACAAAUGAUUAUUUCCUGUGUUGUUAGUGUCAUAACAUAGUUUCAUGAUUUAUCUUUGCUCAUACUAUAAAACUGUUCACUAGUUCCUCCUUAUUUGAAAAAAAUUAGAAGAAAAAUAUCUACUAUAAAUACUGCUCUUUGAUUACGCCCUUAGGAUAAAUUUUUCCUCAAUCUUUUAAAUUAAAAUAUUUCCCAGAAUGAGCUUAAGGGUUAAAUACACACACACAUACACACACAUAGACAAUUUUGUAUCAUAUUUCCUUGCAAGGAAAAAUUAGGCUAGCUAGAAUUUCUAGGACAGUCUUUUCCCCCUUCUGGGAAAUAGAAGCCAUGAGAGGGAGAGACAGGCUAGAAAGACGGUGAGGAAUAGUAUGAGAUGGAACCAGAGGCCUCGCAGAAGAGGCCCAGCAUUGCUUUCUGUCCUUGUCCCCAUCUUGGUAGCGGCUGCUAAAGGCCUGAAUGAGCAGAGACAACCCUGUAGCCCACUUGCGGAUUCCUACUGAUGGGAUCAUUUUAGAACUCUGAGUAUUAUCAUUUCCUCAAUUAGAUAAGCCUGUGAUUCCAAUACACACAGAAUCUACAGCAGGUCAAGGUGCUAUUUAAGGACAAAGGUAAUUAUCAUUCUAAUGUCUGGAAGAGACCAUGUAAAUUUCUUCCUUCCCUCUGCCUAGAACAAGAUGAUAAAAGCAAACAGGGAAAAGUAGGGACCGGCUCCAAUAAUGGAGCAUGUGAUUAUCAUACAUAUGCACCCACGAACAGAGAAAACACUAGCUGCAAAUAUAUCUCUGAAAAAUGCCUGUGAUGGAGUCACUCAGAGCAGUCAACUCUGGCUCAAAAACGAGUCUCCUCACUUCUAGGAGAAGGGAUAGGUAAGAUCCAGCUAUACGUUCGAGUCAAUAAUAUUAAUACAGAUCAUGAGUACAAUGAUGAAAGUAAGAACCCUACUUCAGGCAAAAUCAGAUUAAAGAAUAUUUGAAGCAUUUCAAAGUCGAGUGUCCUCUUGGAAUGUUUCAAAAUGCAAAGACAAAACCAUUAAGUCACAGAACACCAAAUUCUCCAGACCAUAUGUCAUUAUUAAGGCUCAUUUUUAUUCAGAUAUAGACAGGACCAUUUGGCAUUUUUGAAAGAGGUUAUGUUUGCAUGUGCUUUCCGGAAUAAAGAAUCAACAUCUUUAUGACAAAAAAGCUUUAGCUCAGAAAAACCUGUACAGCAUUUAGAACCAUGGGUAUAGCAUUUCAAUAGUUUCAUUCAGUCCACCUACCGCCCACCCCACCUCUACUCCUAACACCCACCAAAGAGAGAGAAUCCAAAGUUUUAAGCCUAUGAAGGAUCAUUUUAAAAAUACAUUCCAACUUCAUUUCCUUCAUUUAAUACAUGUUUAGGAGACCUCUCUCCAAGGAGAGAGAGGUUUUUCUUUUAUGCAUUAGCUUUUUAAUGCAGAAAAGUUAUGAUUUCAUUACAGUGGGUGAAACUAUAGAACUAGUAAUCCAUCUUCAAGGAUAGAGCAAAUAUAAACUUAUUAAGGUCCUAAUCCACUUUAGGAAUACUGGUUGGAUAAAUCAUUUGCUUAAAUAUUAUAUAAUUAUACCCUUAUUCUACCAACCAUUUGAAAUCAGAGUAAAUCAGAUGCACAGGGCACUUCCUCAGGUUACAGAGCAAUUUAAUUUGGGGGUGUGCCAAAAACGUAUCUUUUAAAUUUUGUAUCUUCUGUUUCUUUAUCUCCACUCUGUUCCCUCCCAUCUCAAACUACAAGCAAAUUAAGUUAUAAAUUCCCCGGGUUUCAAUGGAGCCAAACACUGAGUAUCUCAGAUCCACAUUUUUUUUCUUUUUUAAUCUUUUAAGGCAUGCCUUUGUUUUUCACUUGCAAAUCAAAAUCCCUCCUGGGCAUGACAUUCAAAGCCUUUUAUCAGUUGCUUCUAAGUAACUUUCCCACCUCACUUCCUGCUCAUCCUUCUGAAAAUAUUCUAUUUUUGCAUGAGGCCAUUUUUCCCAAAUGGACCAGACAUGUUAUAUUCUAUUACCAGUUAAAAUGCCUUCCCAGAUGUUCACCACUUAUCUUUCUAGACACAACUCGAAUGUCCCAGGCUCCCUGACGGCAUUCCUGAUGCCACAGGGUAAGAGUCAGGUUUAGUGGGAAGACCACUUCUCCUCCAAGAUCACUCAGAGCUAACGCGAGGAGUGGACAAGAUGAGGUGCACGUGGCAUCCAGCAUGGUGCAGAUAUUGAAAUACUUCUGUUUCUGUACUUUCCAACCCCUCUGAUUCCAAAGGAAUCUAUGUUCACCUGCUUGCUAGCUCUCACCAAACUGCACCAUGGUUAUGUGGUUGGAUGCCUGGCUUCCCCUGGAGACUAAUGGGGGCUCUAGUGCCCGAUUCUUCCAUGAGUGUCAACGAGGUGUUGAGUUGUGUCGUAUUGUGUUUCUAGAAGACAGAGAGUGACUUAUUCUCCAGAGUACAAUGUCUAACACUUAGAAGGAGCACAAAAAUGAUUGUUGAGAUAGUGAAUGAGUAAAACAUCCCAAAGACUGAUCUUUUUAGUAGUGUUCAGGAGUAAGGACAGAAUAGUAACGAGAUAAAUGAGAGACAGAUAAAGAUGAAUGAAUGAAUGAAUGAAUGAAUGAAUGGAGGUCAAGGAACUAUAGUACUAAGUGAGUUGGUAUCCCUCCCUCCGGUUUUCUUACUGCUUAUGAACUUUAGUAAAAUUACAUACACUCUCUGGUUUUCUAUUUCAUUAUCUGUAAAAUGGUGACACAAUGGCAUUUAGCUCUUAGGCCUGUUCAAAAAAAUGAAAUAAAGUAGGUAAAAUACUUAGCAUACCUGAAACACAAGUUGAUGCUUAAUAAAUUUUAGUUACUAUUAUCAUAUAGAUUUUUGAGGGGCCUCUUCCUAUCCUCUUUGAGAAACGCUUUUACUGAGUUAUUUAAAGAUGCUAAUGAGGAGUUCCCUGGUGGCCUAGAAGGUUAAGGAUCUGGCAUUGUCAGUGUUGUGGCUUGGGUUACUGCUGUGGCAUGGGUUGGAUCCCUGGACCGGGAACUUCCACAGGCAGUGGGCAUGGCCAAUAAAUAUAUGAAUAAAUAAAGCUGCUAAUGAUUAAAGAGUCAACUGAGCCAGUAUUUUGGGGGUAUUUUGGGGGCUUAGUAUGGGCUAGGCAUCCAUCAUUUCAUUAAUCUAUAUUGCAUUAUGGUUUAUAUCAAUGAGGAAAUGGGCUAAAAGGAAAACAAGGGGCCCAAGGUUAACCAGGAAGAAAGAAUAACAAGCAAGAUUCUCACUUCCUAAUCUGGGCGUUCAGCAAAUACUCAACACACAGGCCAACUUUUGUGAAGAUGGGCAUACAUUACGGUCCAGUCAUCCCUUGACUUGAUUUGGACAAGAAGACUUUGCCUUCUUAUCAUGUCAUGCAUGGCCUUCCUUUCCAUUCCUUAUCAACCAUAUAUUCACUGAGGACAGAAAUUGUGUCACUCACCUUUAUGGCUCUCCCCAAACUAGAGUAGACACAUGCAUGCACACACACACACGACACACACAAAUGAAGAAGAGAAGGCGAAAAAGCAGCUCUACUUGGUAGAAAAAACACAGCAGACUCCAGAAAAGGCAAGUCUCAGAAACACGCUAGCCAUGAGCAAAUAAACUAGACUAGUCUAAUGAAACACACAUGUACACUGAGAGUUACACAUUCUCUGGUAUAAAUACUUCAAUUUCUAAAAUUCCUAAUUAAGUUCUUCCACCUUUAAUCUUGAAUCACUUUAUAGUUUAAUUCCAGGUCCCUUCUCUCCUAAAUCCUGCAGUUAAUACCACUUUCAGCUUGGCUGCCUUGAUUAACGGCUCCAUAAUGUCUGCAUUCAUUCUCGGUUGGAGGAGACACUUUGUGUUCUGAAGUAAUUCUUUCCUGCAAGAUGUUGGCAACCUCAGCUUCAAGAGGAUAAAUAGUAACUACCCGGAACCACAUUCCUGAGGCCAGGUCAUGGCCCUUAGAAACCCAAUUCCCCCCCUCUUCUCCCAUCACCUGUGAAUUGAUGGUUAGAACAGGUGGCAUCUGUCUGAACAGCUCUCCUAUGCCUGGCAAAGCAGCCGCCUCCUGCUCAGACAGUGGGUGGAUUUAAACUUCCAACCCCUUUUUUUGUCUUCUUUUUAGGGCUGCAUCUGCGGUAUAUGGAGGUUCCUAGGCUAGGGGUGGAAUUCGCCGCAGCCACAGCAACACCAGACCCAAGCCACAUCCACGACCUACACCACAGCUCAUGGCACCGUAUGAUCUUUAACCUACUGAGCGAGGCCAGGGAUUGAACCCAAGUCCUCAUGGAUGUUAGUUUGAUUUGCAAUCCACUGAGCUACAAAGGGAAACUCCCUAAACUCCCAACCUCUUUAAUCACCAAUAAUAAGCACCUUGCCAGAAGUGCUGCAUCAUCUGUAGUUGUAAGAGUGGUUCCAUUUCACCUACAAUGCGUGUGGGGUAGGUCUGUGCGUUCAUUUGGAUCCGCUGGGGACUCUUGCUGUGGCCCAUCUAGUAAUCAUGACAAUGACAAUUUCUGAACACCUUUCGUGUAGUAGGUGCCUCUACCAAGCACUAAAUAUAGAUUAUUUUUAUCUCCUAACAAUAGAAUAAGGAAUGCAUGGCACUUUUACAUGUGUGGAAUCAGGGGCUUAGAGAGGUUAAAUAAGGAAAUAAGGCUUAGCAUGGAGAGAAGAUGUUACCACGUGGCAAAAGAGGGAUUCCCAGGCAGGUGAAUCUGUGCAGAUUGCCCCUCUUUUGACCACGCAACCUCAUGACCUGGAUGAAAUGCAUGUCUGCCUAAUAGUGCCUAAGAAAGCUCUGUGCCAUGGGCAAAAAAUCAUGAAAGUAUAAUAUACACGUGGCAAAAUGAGCAGCUCAUUAUUAAAACUUAUUCAUGAACAGAAAAUAAAUACUUAAUUAAAAACUGGAAAUAGCUGUCAUUUUAACAUAGUCUCUAUACCCUCUGUUGGGAGACAAUGAUCUCUGGGUAUUUUAUUAUCCCUACUUAUGUUCACACUAUCAUAGGGUCCUCAGCCUUCUGAGCAAAAGAUGCUGAGGGGAUCUUUGCAUCUUAGGCAGCCUGAGAAGCAAGGGAUAGAAUCUCCAUCAGGAUACGGAGACAGAGCCCUCCCCUUCUGAAGUCUCUGUAAGAGACUGGCUUACAUUCCAGAAUGAUGGAAAAUCAAUCUUUUUCUCUCUCUGUAAUAAAGGCCAGGCAGAUGGGCCAGCAGCCAAUAAAAGCUCAGCGUCUCUUAACCGUGGUGUUUCUCUCCUCUGAUGCAAACAUUAUUACAAGUGUAGGUAAAUGUCAGGCCUCAUAGCAUCACCCUGUGGGCACCGGGGUGUUGGGAACCAACCGGGAACCAGAGUGAGAACAGUUGUCUGGUUGUGGCUUCUGCUGUAAUAAAGUAUCUGUGUCUCUAACCUAGAGCCUCGUGUCCUAUUAGUCUAUGCAUGAAACUGUGGUAGACUAAAUCGUUAACUUGCAAGUGGGCUACUCUGAGAGCCUGUCCAGUUUCAGAAUUAACACUAGACGUUCUCAAAGUGGGUUCCUAGACCAGCUGCAUUAGCAUCACUUGGAAACUUGUUCAAGAAGUAAAUUAUUGGGCCUCAGCCCAGAUCCACUGAUCAGUUACCCUGGGGUUGAAGCUCAGCAAUUUUCUCUUUAAUAUGCCACUGAAGGGAGUUCCCGUUGUGGCGCAGUGGAAACAAAACCGACUAGGAACCAAGAGGUUGCAGGUUCAAUCCCAGGUCUCGCUCAGUGGGUUAAGGAUCCAGCAUUGCGGUAAACUGUGGUGUAUGUCACAGAUGCAGCUCGGAUCUGGCGUUGUUGUGGCUGUGGUGUAGGUUGGCAGCUGUAGCUCCAAUUCCACCCCUAGCCUGGGAACCUCCAUAUACCCCAGGUGUGGCUCUAAAAAGCAAAAAAAAAAAAAAAAA
ensembl:lncRNA